UUGAGGGGCUUAACGAUUACC
rnacentral:miRNA from 1 species